GUGCCAGCCGCCGCGGUAAUACGUAGGCAGCAAGCGUUGUUCGGAGUUACUGGGCGUAAAGAGUGCGUAGGCGGUGUCGAAAGUUUGGCGUGAAAUCUCCCGGCUUAACUGGGAGGGUGCGCCGAAAACUGCGAUGCUGGAGUGUGGGAAAGGCAAGCGGAAUUCCUGGUGUAGCGGUGAAAUGCGUAGAUAUCAGGAGGAACACCGGCGGUGUAGACGGCUUGCUAGACCAUAACUGACGCUGAGGCACGAAAGCGUGGGUAGCAAACAGGAUUAGAAACCCCGGUAGUCC
rnacentral:rRNA from 1 species